AGAACGAACGCUGGCGGCAGGCUUAACACAUGCAAGUCGAGCGGGUGCAGCAAUGCAUCAGCGGCAGACGGGUGAGUAACGCGUGGGAACAUACCCUCCGGUUCGGAAUAACUCAGGGAAACUUGAGCUAAUACCGGAUACGGCCAUUGAUGUAAGAAUUGGCGGCGAAAGAUUUAUCGCCGGAGGAUUGGCCCGCGUCCGAUUAGCUAGUUGGUGUGGUAACGGCGCACCAAGGCGACGAUCGGUAGCUGGUCUGAGAGGAUGAUCAGCCACAUUGGGACUGAGACACGGCCCAAACUCCUACGGGAGGCAGCAGUGGGGAAUAUUGGACAAUGGGCGCAAGCCUGAUCCAGCCAUGCCGCGUGAGUGAUGACGGCCUUAGGGUUGUAAAGCUCUUUCGCUCGGGACGAUAAUGACGGUACCGAGAGAAGAAGCCCCGGCUAACUUCGCGCCAGCAGCCGCGGU
rnacentral:rRNA from 1 species